GCCCAGGUCGCUCAACUUGGUAGAGCGGGAGAUUGAAACCCUCCUUCCCGAAAGGGUAUCCGGGUUCAAAUCUCUUUGAGCGAAAGCUUUUGGGAUGAAAAUCCCUGCCUGGGCG
rnacentral:tRNA from 1 species